UACGGAGGGUGCAAGCGUUGUCCGGAUUUAUUGGGUUUAAAGGGUGCGUAGGUGGCCCUGCAAGUCCGUGGUGAAAGCCUGCCGCUUAACGGCAGAACUGCCAUGGAUACUACAGGGCUUGAGUCCAGACGAGGUUGGCGGAAUUGGAUGGUGUAGCGGUGAAAUGCAUAGAUACCAUCCAGAACCCCGAUUGCGUAGGCAGCUGACUAGGCUGGUACUGACACUGAGGCACGAAAGCGUGGGGAGCGAACAGG
rnacentral:rRNA from 1 species